rnacentral:rRNA from 1 species
AGUGAACGCUGGCGGUAGGCCUAACACAUGCAAGUCGAACGGCAGCACAGUAAGAGCUUGCUCUUACGGGUGGCGAGUGGCGGACGGGUGAGGAAUACAUCGGAAUCUACUUUUUCGUGGGGGAUAACGUAGGGAAACUUACGCUAAUACCGCAUACGACCUACGGGUGAAAGCAGGGGAUCUUCGGACCUUGCGCGAUUGAAUGAGCCGAUGUCGGAUUAGCUAGUUGGCGGGGUAAAGGCCCACCAAGGCGACGAUCCGUAGCUGGUCUGAGAGGAUGAUCAGCAAAACUGGAACUGAGACACGGUCCAGACUCCUACGGGAGGCAGAAGUGGGGAAUAUUGGACAAUGGGCGCAAGCCUGAUCCAGCCAUACCGCGUGGGUGAAGAAGGCCUUCGGGUUGUAAAGCCCUUUUGUUGGGAAAGAAAAGCAGCAGGUUAAUACCCCGCUGUUCUGACGGUACCCAAAGAAUAAGCACCGGCUAACUUCGUG